ACAAAAGACAGCAAAGCAAAGCAUUUGAGCUUUUGCAAACGACAAAGUGACAAUCUAUUAACUGUUAAGCGGUAGCCUAGCCAUCUCAAGAGUUGCAUGGUCAUGCUCUUAAUCGAGAACAGUGUUCAAGAGUUGGUCUAUGCAGUUUGUCGUCAAAGUUACAUUUGUGCUGCAUAACAUUUGGGAUGUUAAUGACAGGAGGGUUUGCUUCAGUUGUGAAGGUACAUAAUAAAUUGGACGGCUAUCUCUAUGCGAUCAAAAGAAUUUAUUUGAAUCAGACAAGUGUUCUGUUAAAUCGCAAAAUUGCUCGAGAAGAGAAGUUCCUUUCUAGAUUGAAUCAUGAAAAUAUUGUAAGGUAAAAAGAAAUUUACUAUCCAAAA